rnacentral:piRNA from 1 species
UGCCGAGUACAGUUUCAACCCAGGGCA